UACGGAGGAUGCAAGCGUUAUCCGGAAUGAUUGGGCGUAAAGCGUCCGCAGGUGGCUAUGUAAGUCUGCUGUUAAAGAGUGAGGCUCAACCUCAUAAGAGCAGUGGAAACUACAUGGCUAGAGUGCGUUCGGGGCAGAGGGAAUUCCUGGUGUAGCGGUGAAAUGCGUAGAGAUCAGGAAGAACAUCGGUGGCGAAAGCGCUCUGCUGGACUGCAACUGACACUCAGGGACGAAAGCUAGGGGAGCGAAUGGG
rnacentral:rRNA from 1 species